ensembl:lncRNA
GAAGUGUAUAGAAAAGGCUUAAUAUGGUGUGAACUGUUCUCAUUAAGUUAAUCCAGUCAGUAGAAAUGAGAUGUCUUUAGACAAGUCAUGUGGAGGUCUUCAGCUGUACAAACAUGGCUCGUUCUCUGUCAGAGCGAUAUGAAACAAAGUCAAAUAACCAAGGAGUCAACCUACUGCUGACCAGAACGUUACUGCAAUUGUCAAAUAUUUGUGAGGGGUGACGGUAUUAAAGUACAUAAUUAUACAGCUCUAUCUCAGUAACCUGAAACUGCAAGCUUGGUGAUGUAUCUCCCUGGUAAAGUUCUAGGAAUGUAUUGCUAGUUUAUUGUCCACAAGUGUCAGCGUUCUUAAAUGGAAUGAUGUUCCGACCUGUAUAUCUGAAUGUGACAGUGUUUAAGAUGUCCUGUACAGCUCAUAUCUACUAGGAAUAUAGGCAGCUGUCAUGUUGUCUGAUGCAUCAGUGGAGUGUAAUUUUUACAUGUCCCCAGCAGGUGGCGUUAGAAUGCUUUUCCACUAUUCACCGGAGAGGGGAAACACUAUUGCAUUUCUCCUCCAAAAUAAGGACAGUGAUUUAGACUUUGUAGUAGGCUGAAUGAGAGUUAAAUCAUAUGUCCUGAGGUUAUGAUAAAGCCUAAUGAGCAAGUAUUUGCUGUACAGCAACCUAAAGGAGAAAGCGCUUGGUUCUGUUUUGUUGAUUUUGGAGGACUUAAUUUUACUCCGGGAUGCAGUAAUUUUUCUUGUUGUCCAGCACAGCAGUUGCUUAAGUCAUCUCAGUUGGUGCUUAGAUAAACAUCCUUCAUCCCUAGGGAAUAAGGACACUUCGACAUCUCAGAUUUCCAGAGCUUGUCAUAUCCCUCCUCUCCAACCUCAUGGCCGCUCUCGUGUCUCUUAAAACCCUAAAAGUGUCAGUCACUGGUACUUUCAAGGAUGUUUACAACUGUUUUCAUUUCCAUGGUUCAACUCUGUUCAUUGCGGUCUUCCCCCGUCCUCCCCUUCUGGAGUUUAUGUAAAGUGUACAUUACCACAGUUUUUUUAUACGAUACUGUAACUUGCCUUUGUACAUUUGGGCGAAAAAUAAAUCUUUUUAUGAGACAAUCA